UCAACCGUUCAUCAUCCAUCAGUUCAUUCAAUCUCAUCCGUCCGAUCAUCCUAACCCCGUUAUAAAACAACGCAUCAUUUCUUCAUCAACUCGCAUUCCAGUUUCAUCUCUCUCCUCUUCCCGGAACAUCUUUCAUCUCCAGAUCUACUCAUCGUCAUUUCUCUGCUUCUGAAUCGGUACGCAGAUCCGUGUAGAUCGUUCGCCGAUCUACAGUUUGAGUAUGGUUUCGACUUGUAUCGGACAUCGAUUCCCUGCGAAAUGGUUAUGAAUUCAGAUUUGUUUAGAUCGUUUGCCGAUCUAUCAUUUCUGAGUGUUGUCGGUAUGAAUAUUGCUCGGACCAUGGACGAUGCUGUCGGCUAGAUGAAGAUUGGAUAGAUCUGAUGGAUUUGUUACGAGAUUGAGAGAUGAAUGGCCUUUUCAAGGAGAGUUCUCGGUGAUCUGAGAUGAUUUUUUGACCUUCAAUUGGUGGAGGCUUCGUUGUUCGCGGAUAUAGUUUUGUCGGUUAUCAUCGUUUCAAUUGGGUGAUUUUACCGUAUCUCUGUAGAGCUCGGUAAAAUUGGAUAUCACUGGUGUUCUAUUUAUGCUAGAUCUCGAGGGAUGGUAAUCGGCAAGCUUGAGGUUGUUAGAUAAGGUUAUCAUAGUUAAAUUUGUUGUCUAUUCUCAGCUUAAUUAUGAACAUUUGCAUUAGUUUUUCUCAUAUGCAUAUGUAUGAGGAAAUAAUGAGAUCGUAGAGAAAAGAGAGGAUAUGUGAGGUUCUUUAUUGUUGUUUACCGGCCUUCGCCAUGCCGGGUGCGCUCGCAUGGCAGGUCACAAAACCUAAUAAAGAUGCGAUUUUUGUGUUUGGAGGGGAGAUGGUACGGGGGUUUUGCCCGACUCUCCUCUCUGUGUCUUGUCUUUGGCCUCCCUUCUUUGUUUUCUAGAA